CAAUAGCGUAUAUUUAAGUUGUUGCAGUUAAAAAGCUCGUAGUUGGAUUUCGGGUGGGACGCAGCGGUCUCGCAUUGCGUUUGUACUGCUGCAGCCCUCCUUCUUGCCGGGGGCGGCCUCUCGGACUUCACUGUCUGGGGGUCAGAAUCGGCGAUGUUACUUUGAGUAAAUUAGAGUGUUCAAAGCAAGCUUACGCUCUGAAUAUAAUAGCAUGGGGUAACACGACAGGACUCUGGCCUAUCGUGUUGGUCUAUAGGACCAGAGUAAUGAUUAAGAGGGACAGUCGGGGGCAUUCGUAUUCCGUUGUCAGAGGUGAAAUUCUUGGAUUUACGGAAGACGAACAUCUGCGAAAGCAUUUGCCAAGGAUGUUUUCAUUG
rnacentral:rRNA from 1 species